CACGGAGUUAGCCGAUCCUUAUUCUUACGGUACCGUCAGUACAUUACACGUAAUGUUUUUUCUUCCCGUACAAAAGCAGUUUACACACCAUAGAUGCUUCAUCCUGCACGCGGCAUGGCUGGUUCAGACUUCCGUCCAUUGACCAAUAUUCCUCACUGCUGCCUCCCGUAGGAGUCUGGUCCGUGUCUCAGUACCAGUGUGGGGGAUCUCCCUCUCAGGACCCCUACCCAUCAUCGUCUUGGUAAGCCGUUACCUUACCAACUAACUAAUGGGACGCAUGCUCAUCUUAUACCAAUAAAUCUUUAUAAUAAAAUCGAUGCCAAUUCUAUUAACUAUAAGGUAUUAAUCCAAAUUUCUCUGGGCUAUCCCUUAGUAUAAGGUAGAUUGCAUACGCGUUACGCACCCGUGCGCCGGUCUCAAGUUCCGAAGAACUCUACCCCUCGACUUGCAUGUGUUAGGCCUGCCGCUAGCGUUCAUCCUGAGCCAGGAUCAAACUC
rnacentral:rRNA from 1 species